UAGCAAAAGCAUUGCCAAGGACUGAACAACAAAUGCAUUUGCCAUCUGCCUCUAGGAAGAUUGAACUCCAUGCUGGUAUAGCUGGUGACUUCAACAACCCCUGAGGGAGUUCAGGGUGGAGUGAGGCACUCUGUGCUCCAGGGAAUGUGGUGGGACAGGUCUUUAGAUAGUUAGAUGUUUUUAGGAACAGAUUUUAUUAUCUCAAUCCUUGAGAUCUCAAUCUCAAUCUCAUAUCUAGGAAGCACUAAAUCCCUUCAUGGUGACAUCAGAUCCUCAUGACUAACAGAAAUCUUUUGUAAAAUGAGUGCUUCAUGCUAUUGAACUCCCCCUUCACCAAAACCUUAUAUAUUGGCUUUCCCCCACUGCCACUUUGGAGUAGUCUCUCAGAGCUGAGAUGCUGCCUCCCAGGCUGCAGUCCUCAUUUUGCCCCAAGUAAAACUUAACUCACAACUCUCAAAUUGUACAUCUUUUUUAGUCGACAGUUAUGGUGACUGAUGAAGUGACCCAGUGGACUUCCUUCCUUCAACUGGACUCCACAAGGAACUGGAGCUUUGGUACCAGCAGCAGCCCCUUGUGCCCAUUUGCCUCCUCGGGGAGUGCAGAUGAAUUUAGAGGGAGAUGCCAUCUCUAUUGCCCAAGAUCGCUGGCUUGCAAACAUCCUGGAAAAGUGAGUCUAGAACAAAAGCAAACAAUGCCUCUACUCCAAAGAUGUGCAGACAUGUGAGAGAAACAUGAAACACGGUCCCCUACAAAGACAAACACAGAGUGGGUUUGAAGAGGAAAUAGGUGAAAAGGAGAGGGUAAGGGAAUCAUCCAUUUUAUCUGAAAGGAGCAGGAAGCUUGCUGAGGAUCCUCAUGAUUUCCAGUGUAAUAAAAAAUUUUCUUGGGCCUGAAAAA